CGCGCGGCGUGGCGUCUGCGUGUAACCCCAGCUUCUCGGGGGGGACGCGGGUUGGAGGAUGGUCAGGGGCCGUCGGUCGCCCAGCUGCACGCCAUGUCGACGGCGCGCCCACCCCAAGCCCGGGGUCGACACAGGCCUUCCCUCGGAGGGGGGGGGGUCGGGGUCGUUGAAGAGGGGUGCAACGCUUGAGGCUGGAAACAGAGCAGAGAAAAA
rnacentral:SRP_RNA from 1 species